rnacentral:sRNA from 1 species
UAUUUUCAUCAUAUGCC